rnacentral:rRNA from 1 species
CAGAAGCGGGGGAUAACACCUGGAAACAGAUGCUAAUACCGCAUAACAACUUGGACCGCAUGGUCCGAGCUUGAAAGAUGGCUUCGGCUAUCACUUUUGGAUGGUCCCGCGGCGUAUUAGCUAGAUGGUGGGGUAACGGCUCACCAUGGCAAUGAUACGUAGCCGACCUGAGAGGGUAAUCGGCCACAUUGGGACUGAGACACGGCCCAAACUCCUACGGGAGGCAGCAGUAGGGAAUCUUCCACAAUGGACGAAAGUCUGAUGGAGCAACGCCGCGUGAGUGAAGAAGGGUUUCGGCUCGUAAAACUCUGUUGUUAAAGAAGAACAUAUCUGAGAGUAACUGUUCAGGUAUUGACGGUAUUUAACCAGAAAGCCACGGCUAACUACGUGCCAGCAGCCGCGGUAAUACGUAGGUGGCAAGCGUUGUCCGGAUUUAUUGGGCGUAAAGCGAGCGCAGGCGGUUUUUUAAGUCUGAUGUGAAAGCCUUCGGCUCAACCGAAGAAGUGCAUCGGAAACUGGGAAACUUGAGUGCAGAAGAGGACAGUGGAACUCCAUGUGUAGCGGUGAAAUGCGUAGAU